UUGGAAGUCCCUGGGGCACAAAGUAGAGACGCCACCCAGCCCAGCCUAGGCCAGAUGGGCCCAUGAGGACCCCAGACGUCAUUCAGUUCUUACUGAUCUUUUGGGAACAGCACCCAAGUAGAAGCUCCAUGUUUGGUUGAGCCUGUGCCUGCCUGCGUGUGCCCACGGAUGCCCAUGAUCUCGUGCCCAUAGUAUCCAGAGCUUGUCUUUCCUGGAGGAAUGCAUUAUGACCUCAUCUCAGAUAAGGGAAAAUUAAUU